ensembl:miRNA MIR502 microRNA 502
AGCCUUCUGCCCUGCUCCCCCUCUCUAAUCCUUGCUAUCUGGGUGCUAGUGCUGUCUCAAUGCAAUGCACCUGGGCAAGGAUUCAGAGAGGG